rnacentral:lncRNA from 1 species
UUGAUGAUGACAUAAUUCGAAAAACAAGUCUUUAUAGCUUGUUGGAUCAAAACGAACAAUACAUGUCGUGAGCUUAGAAGAAUGAAAAGUUACCUUUAUAUCUAGCUUGUGACAGUGAGUAAAUGAAGUCACAAUGUCAAGGUAAAUUUGGUUCAUGUUUACAGAAAAAAAAGCACACACACUAGGUGUCAUAGUCUAUGGCAUGUGCAUUUGUGCAGAAAAAUAGAAAAGAGAGAAAAGGGUGGGCGAUAUUUUCCACUUGUAGCCAAAAAAAAAAAAUUGUAGUGCCAACAAAGGAGGUUAAGAAAAUGACCAUUUGCUUUUAAAGAUAGUGGGUAGUAGUAGUGUCACGACCCAAAAAUGGACGUGAUGGCAUUCGUCUUAUCCCACCAAGAUAAGUAAGCCUAAAACUCAACUAUUACAAUAAAAAUGCGGAAAAUUUACUAUCAACUUACAUUAUACCCCAAAACCUGAUUGUCACGUGUACAAGCCUCUAAAGUAUUACAAUGGGAUCAAAAGAAAAUAUAAGUCUCAUAUGAUAUUAUUUCUAGAGUAGAACAAAAUCAUAAACAAGGGUAAGGAGGGAUGCUGAGAUGACCAACAACUACCUCACAAAAUCUCCAGGAAACCUCGGAAAAAAAGAGAAUAUAUCAUAAAAGUCCGGGCUAGUAACCUACAAAAAUUUGUAGAAGCAAGGGGUGAGUACCAAACCACACGGUACUCAGCAAGUAAACCUCUAGACACAAGCUAAGGGGAUGAAAUACGGGUACUCCUACCACCCCCAACCGAACCUCCGCAACUACAACCUGCAUAAACAUCAGCCCAGCCUAACAACUCACAGUUUACAUAGAACGUAACUCAACAAAAACAUUUAGACAAAUUACAUAUCCUCCACAACAACACUUUAACAAAUUACAUAUCCUCCACAACAACACUUUAACAAAUUAUAUAUCCUCAACAUCAACACUUCAACAAAUUAGAUAUCCUCAAUAGCAACACUUCCACAAAUUUACAUAUCCUCAAUAACACACUUUAACAAAUUACAUAUCCUCAACAACAACACUUCAACAAAUUAUAUAUCCUCAAUAACAAGCUCAGUAUUCAACAAUCACAAGUUCCGCAAAAAGGCAAUCACUAGAUCAGCAAAACACAAUAUCAAGUUCACUAAUGAUAAGUAUGUGCAAUGUAAUGGAAUGCAAUGUCAAGUAUAAUGAUGCAUGUCUGACCUAGUGAUACACACCCGCUGUCUCUCAGUCCGGGACCCAUGGGGGACAUAUCUGUCCAUGCAUCUGUCGCGGCGCAUGACACGACCCUCGAUAACAGUAACCAUCGCGGCGCGCGAUACGUCCCUCGAAAUAUAGUAUCCAUCGCGGCGCGCGAUACGUCCCUCGAAAUAUAGUAACCAUCGCGGCGCGCGAUACGUCCCUCGAAAUGGUACAUCCUCUUUAAGUUAUCAUUCUUUCUCAAUGCACAUAACACUUCCACAACCAUGCCUCAGAAUAAUGCAAUGACAUGUUCACACAAAUAAUGAGAAGAUGACCAUUUUCAUAACAUUGCACAGUUCACAACCACACAAACAUGAAAUCAUAUCAACAAUGAUUCAACAAGCCAUCAAACUUUUCUCAACACAUCACACAUAAAUAAUUAAUCACAUCGCCUUUUGUUAUCCCUUUUAUUUCAUCAUUAGAAUUAAUCAAUGUGGACAAAUCAACCCAUCACCAAUCCCGUUACUCCCAAACAUAUAUCACAAGGAAAUACACGCAUUCCAUACACUUAACAAGAGUUUAGAAAUCCACUUGCCUCAAAUAGUCGAACAAUGACUCCAAAACUUGAGUCUUCCUCUUUUUGUUGACUUCCAAACCAAUAAAAUCUAUUCAAAUAAAUAACCACGAUAUGAUUUCGAAACUAACAACAUUAAUAUUGCUAUAUCUCUAGCUUAGACCCAAAACUCAUCCAAAUUUAUAAUAAAAUUUCUAAAUCUUUAUUCCAACCAAUUGAUCAAAUCUCAUAUUUUCUGAAUUUCAAGUUUAGGGUUAAAUCUUAAUUCUCCGAAUAACAUAAUUAUAAUGAUUUUUAUAUAUCAUAAUGCACCCACUAUUUAACACAUAUCUCAAUAUAUCAAAACUUGAAUCCUAAUAUGAUAAUCAAAUGAAAUUAAUUAAAGCCGAAACUAACUGCCCAGCACAUCAAUGGCGGACUACAAAACUAUCUGCUGAAACCACUUAUUUUCAAUGUUCCAAUUCAUAUUUAUCGUUCCACUAUUAAUAAUCCUAAUCUUGGAGUAAUCAUUGUCCAAUGAUUAGGACUAAUCAUUGUCCAAUGAUUGAACCAUAAUACUUAUACAUAUUUAUAAUCUCAAGUUCACAAGUUCACAUAUUAGUAUAAAUUAUACACGUUUUAACCUAAAAAUCUAUUCCUAGUUACACAAAAAUUUAAUAGAAAGGAUAAGAAUAAUUACUUUGACGCCUUGAGAUAAAAAUAUUGAUUUUUCUCCUCCUUCUCCCUUUUCUUUUCUCCCUUUCUUUUCUUUUCUUCUCUGUGUUUUUUUUUUUCCAGAUCGUCGUUUUUUUUUCUUUCUCAUGCCCCUUGCGGGUUUUCACAUAUUAGGGCACUUU